rnacentral:rRNA from 1 species
CCUACGGGACGCACCAGUGGGGAAUAUUGCACAAUGGGCGCAAGCCUGAUGCAGCCAUGCCGCGUGUAUGAAGAAGGCCUUCGGGUUGUAGAAUACUUUCAGCGGGAGGAAGGUGUUGUGGUUAAUAACCACAGCAAUUGACGUUACCCGCAGAAGAAGCACCGGCUAACUCCGAGCCAGCAGCCGCGGUAAUACGGAGGGUGCAAGCGUUAAUCGGAAUUACUGGGCGUAAAGCGCACGCAGGCGGUCUGUCAAGUCGGAUGUGAAAUCCCCGGGCUCAACCCGGGAACUGCAUUCGAAACUGGCAGGCUAGAGUCUUGUAGGGGGGGGUAGAAUUCCAGGUGUAGCGGUGAAAUGCGUAGAGAUCUGGAGGAAUACCGGUGGCGAAGGCGGCCCCCUGGACAAAGACUGACGCUCAGGUGCGAAAGCGUGGGGAGCAAACAGGAUUAGAUACCCUUGUAGUC